GGGCGAUUAACUCAGCGGGAGAGUGCUACCUUCACACGGUAGAAGUCACUGGUUCGAUCCCAGUAUCGCCCA
rnacentral:tRNA from 1 species